rnacentral:rRNA from 1 species
CCUACGGGAGGCAGCAGUGAGGAAUAUUGGUCAAUGGGCGGAAGCCUGAACCAGCCAAGUCGCGUGAGGGAUUAAGGCCCUGCGGGUCGUAAACCUCUUUUGCCGGGGAGCAGUGGUCCGGACGCGUCCGGACCGGGAGAGUACCCGGAGAAAAAGCAUCGGCUAACUCCGUGCCAGCAGCCGCGGUAAUACGGAGGAUCCGAGCGUUAUCCGGAUUUAUUGGGUUUAAAGGGUGCGUAGGCGGCCUUUUAAGUCAGCGGUGAAAGUCUGUGGCUCAACCAUAGAAUUGCCGUUGAAACUGGGAGGCUUGAGUAUGUUUGAGGCAGGCGGAAUGCGUGGUGUAGCGGUGAAAUGCUUAGAUAUCACGCAGAACCCCGAUUGCGAAGGCAGCCUGCCAAGCCAUGACUGACGCUGAUGCACGAAAGCGUGGGGAUCAAACAGGAUUAGAUACCCCAGUAGUC